AGAAAGUCUCAACGGUCGCAGCUCCAACUGUGCGAAGGUAGCGUAAUAGGUCGUCCCUUAAUUAGGGGAAAGUAUGAAUGGUCGGAUGUUGGAAAGGCUUUAUUAAGGAGAUAGGUUGAAUUUUACUUUCUAGUGCAAAGGCUAGAAUUUCGUUAUUAGACGAGAAGACCCUGUUGAGCUUGGUAAGGCUAGUCCUUUUAGGAUUAGAGCUAUGUUUGUUCGGGGCUGAAGGGAAGGGAGAUAAUGCCUUCUAUGUUGUAUAAAAGAUCCAAUUUGAUUGAUUGGUGGAAGAUAGUUACCACAGGGAUAACAGCGCAAUCAUUCUGAUAAGGCCAUAUUUAAGGAGUGGUUUGCGACCUCGAUGUUGAAUCAAAAUUUCUACUAGGUGUAGCAGCUUAGUAAGUGGGACUGUUCGUCCUUUA
rnacentral:rRNA from 1 species